rnacentral:rRNA from 1 species
CACGUAGUUAGCCGGGGCUUCUUAGUCAGGUACCGUCUUUUUUCUUCCCUGCUGAUAGAGCUUUACAUACCGAAAUACUUCUUCACUCACGCGGCGUCGCUGCAUCAGGGUUUCCCCCAUUGUGCAAUAUCCCCCAUGCUGCCUCCCGUAGGAGUUUGGGCCGUGUCUCAGUCCCAAUGUGGCCGGUCACCCUCUCAGGUCGGCUACUGAUCGUUGCCUUGGUGGGCCGUUACCCCUCAACUAGCUAAUCAGACGCGGGUCCAUCUCAUACCGUCUCGGCUUUUCACCCCGAACCAUGCGGUUCUGUGUGCUUAUGCGGUAUUAGCAGUCAUUUCUAACUGUUAUCCCCCUGUAUGAGGCAGGUUACCCACGCGUUACUCACCCGUCCGCCCGCUCAGUCAAUUAACAUUCCAUCCGAAAACUUCCUCUUAAUUGUUUCGCUCGACUUGCAUGUGUUAGGCUACGCCGCCAGCGUUCAUCUGAGCCAGGAUCGAAAACUCU